rnacentral:rRNA from 1 species
AAACGAUCGCUAAUACCGCAUGACAUAGCGGAACCGCAUGGUUCUGUUAUCAAAGAUUUUAUCGCUGAUAGAUGGGCUCGCGUCCGAUUAGAUAGUUGGUGGGGUAACGGCCUACCAAGUCGACGAUCGGUAGCCGGACUGAGAGGUCGAACGGCCACAUUGGGACUGAGACACGGCCCAGACUCCUACGGGAGGCAGCAGUGGGGGAUAUUGCACAAUGGGGGAAACCCUGAUGCAGCGACGCCGCGUGAGGGAAGACGGUCCUCUGGAUUGUAAACCUCUGUCUUCGGGGACGAAACGAGACGGUACCCGAGGAGGAAGCCACGGCUAACUACGUGCCAGCAGCCGCGGUAAUACGUAGGUGGCAAGCGUUGUCCGGAAUUACUGGGUGUAAAGGGAGCGUAGGCGGGCAGGCAAGUCAGGCGUGAAAUAUAUCGGCUCAACCGGUAACGGCGCUUGAAACUGCAGGUCUUGAGUGAAGUAGAGGUUGGCGGAAUUCCUAGUGUAGCGGUGAAAUGCGUAGAUAUUAGGAGGAACACCAGUGGCGAAGGCGGCCAACUGGGCUUUUACUGACGCUGAGGCUCGAAAGUGUGGGGAGCAAACAGGAUUAGAUACCCUGGUAGUCCACACCGUAAACGAUGAUUACUAGGUGUGGGGGGACUGACCCCUUCCGUGCCGGAGUUAACACAAUAAGUAAUCCACCUGGGGAGUAC